rnacentral:rRNA from 1 species
CCUACGGGAGGCAGCAGUGGGGAAUAUUGGGCAAUGGAGGCAAGUCUGACCCAGCAACGCCGCGUGAAUGAUGAAGGUCUUCGGGUUGUAAAGUUCUUUUCUAAGGGAAGAAGAAAGUGACGGUACCUAAGGCAUAAGCCUCGGCUAACUACGUGCCAGCAGCCGCGGUAAUACGUAGGAGGCAAGCGUUAUCCGGAAUGACUGGGCGUAAAGGGUGCGUAGGUGGUUUGACAAGUUAGUAGCGCAACUCCGGAGCUCAACCUCGGAACUACUACUAAAACUGUUGGACUUGAGUGCAGGAGGGGCAAUCGGAAUUCCUAGUGUAGCGGUGGAAUGCGUAGAUAUCAGGAGGAACACCAGUGGCGAAGGCGGAUUGCUAGACUGUAACUGACACUGAGGCACGAAAGCGUGGGGAGCAAACAGGAUUAGAUACCCCUGUAGUC